rnacentral:rRNA from 1 species
AUACAGAGGGUGCGAGCGUUAUCCGGAAUCAUUGGGCGUAAAGCGUGUGUAGGCGGAAUGGUAAGUCGGGGGUAAAAUUUGCGAGCUCAACUCGUAACUCGUUCCCGAAACUAUCAUUCUCAGAAGUGUGCAGAGGUAAGUGGAAUUCUGCGUGUAGGGGUAAUAUCCGUAGAUACGUGGAGGAACUCCAAAAGCGAAGGCAGCUUACUGGGCACAUCCUGACGCUGAGACACGAAAGCGUGGGGAGCAAACAGGAUUAGAAACCCGGGUAGUCC